UAUCCAAACACGUAUGUCCAAACAAUUGUGGUAAAAGCUACAAGUAUCCAAGAGGCCUUUGGCAGCACUAUAACUUCGAAUGUGGCGUUGAGUCCAAGUAUAAGUGCCCCUAUUGCAAUUAUGCAGGAAAACAAAAUAUCCAUUUAAAAACUCAUAUGAGAACCAGGCAUAAUAUAAACAUUCUUUAGAAAAAAUAUGUUUCGCUGUCCGAAUAAUUGUGGUCGAAGCUAUAAAUAUUCCAGAAACUUAAGACAGCAUAUUGCCAACGAGUGUGGAGUAGAGUCAAAAUUUAAAUGUUUGCACUGUUCCUAUGCAGGAAAGCAACAUGCUCAUCUGAAAUCACAUAUGCAUAGAAUUCAUAGGAUUGGACCGUAUUCAUAGGAGCAGACAGUACUGAAGGUUUUACUAUGCAGAUCGUGUUAUCGUGAGCUACGUAUUACCGAAAAUAAUGGCAACACCGCUUGAUUGCGGCUUGCAGGCGGCGGAAUUUUUCGUUUUUAUUUUUUGAACCGGGAGUCAGCACACCUCACUUUGCUGUGUUACUGCACGUUGCAUUAAUAAUUUUUGAGCGUUAUUUUCGUGUUUUUUUCACUAUGGCGGUUUAUACCCGUUCCGAAAGAGUUUAACUAAUUAAAUGGUCUUAUGGAGGCAAUUCGGCAGUACAAUGUAGAGAUUUGUUUUCAGUGACAUUUGAGAAUAGACCGAUUCCUUGUGCAAAAAUGGUUUUAAAUGUAGUUACAAAUUUUGAGACAUCUUUGUGUCUUCAAUAUUGUAAAAAAUGCCACACAAAACGUCAAGAACCACCUGUUGAAGUCGUCCAGGAUAUAUACCGGUGGGAAGAAAUGGUUUGCAGUACCCUAGAACUUGAUACCCCAGUGUUGGAGAGGAACUGGGAAUGAGCAAUAAAACUAUUGCUCGUAUCUGGAAAAAAUAUGGGUACAAAUGUUUCAAGUAUUUAAAAACUCAGAAAAUAUUUCUUGAAGACCAGUGGCGAAGAAUGGAAUUUUGUGAAACCAUGAUGGAAUAGGCAAAUGAAAAUGAAUAUUUUUUAAAAAAUAUUUUGUUUUCUGAUGAGUCUUCUUUUCCAUUACAUGGCAAACACAAUCCUUCCAUUGUUCGGUAUUGGUACUCUCAGGAAAACGAGCACAGAAGUUUUUAGUUUCGUACCCAGUAUCCUCAGAAAUUGAAUGUUUGGGCAGGUAUUUUGGGCGACAAUGUUAUAGGGCCAUUUUUUAUUGAUGGCACUUUAAACGCCCAAAAGUACCUUGAGUUGCUGCAAAACCAAGUUCUUCCUGCCAUUCAAAUCCUACCUGAUGUAGACCUGGGAUCGCAUCUGGAUUUAAGAUUACAAUUCUAUGCGGGUUUUACACAUUGUCAUGUCUGUAAAACCCGCAUUAGAAUAAAUAUUUUUAAAAUGCCUGGAUUUUCGCGUAAUAUUUUGGGAUAUUUUGUCGCCAAACGACGCAACUCUCACGAAAGUCAGAUGUUUACUAAUCUCGUCCUCGGGCCGGCCGGGGCGGUGCUCUGUCGCAGGCACUCGUACACGCGCGAAGUUGCAAAAUUUCGCCUCUAUGCGGUUUCCUAUAAGUAACGAACGAAAACACGAUCUGUAUGUAUAGUGCAGCCAUGUUGUCAUAAAAGUCAAUAAUUAUAGAUUUAAUAUUUAAUUUAAAUAUAAUAUUUAAUUAAAAUUUUAAUUGUAUGAAAAAUUUUUCGAUUGUAUGUUCCAAUAAAUAAAACACAUUAAAAUUAGGUAUUUUAUUAUAUGGUUUCAAGUAUAUACUUAGUUUUUAAUCAGCUAUACACAUUAUUCAAUAGUUAAAUUUAUCCAGGUACAAAAAUAUGUUUUUCCAGGUAUCUUUUGUUUAUAAUGUGUACAUCAGUGAUUCUUUUUUCUUUUCAUGAUCCAUGUAGCAUAAAUUUUGUCUACGUAUCCAACCAUCAUUACCCAAUAUUUUUUCUUUUUUUCCUUUUGCUCGAUUUUCUGCAGUUUUCCCAAAUGAAAAAUAAAUGAAGUCACAAAUUUAAAUUUUUAUUUUUUAAUAGUUUGUUUUAAAUUUUCAAUAUUAACACAUUUUAGUAUAUAAAUAGCAGAACGAGAUUUUCGCAUAUAGGAUUUUCCAUAAUGCAUAUUCUGGAAAAUGGUGCUAACUCCACGGAUAUCUAUAAAGCUUUAAAUUUCGAACUUUAUUAGAUUUACUUAAUAACAGCAUAAUUGUUUGCCAGGACUCCUAUGUAUUAUACAUUUUUUUUUAUAUGGCCGUUUCAUGUUUCUUCUCGUUUAGACCCACCUAAAGAAAAAAUAUGUUUGUAAAUGGCUAAGAAUUUUUCAUCAGGAUUAUCUGUUUGUUCUUUUAUCUUGCUUUUCUAGAUUUCCGGCGUACCUCUUAAGGCUUGUGCUUUUUCGAAUAAAAUAUAGUAUAGUAUUCGUAAGAGUGAGAUUAUUUACAAUUUCAUUUACAAUUGAUUACAUUUUCGCCACUAUGCAAUCCAGGUAUAAUGCGCAUCUAUUAUUUGCUUUGAGCAUUAAAAAAUCAAUUUACAAAAGCACGUCACUUAUGAAAUGUAGUCAUUAGGAAUAAGAAAUUUUGUAUGCAAGUGAAACUUUGUAACAUGGCUGUAAGCAUCAUAGGCAUGGCUGUACUAUAGGAAUUGUAAAAUAAAUCAUUUUCAAAAAGUCAUAAUAAAGAUUGAAGUAAAUA
rnacentral:lncRNA from 1 species